rnacentral:lncRNA from 1 species
GUCCACAGUCAGGUGAAGUGCAUCAAACCCUAGAAUUGGAUUUUUAUACGUAAUCUUUCCCUUUAAUAAGACUACCUAGCCAGGUGCUGUGGCACACACCUAUAAUCCCAGCAAUUUGGGAGGCUGAGGCAGGAGGAUUGCAAGUUCAAGGCCAGCCUGGGCACCUAAGUGAGACUCUGUCUCAAAAUUAAAUAAAAAGAAAGGGCCAGGGAUGUGGCUCAGUGGCAGUAGAGCACCUCUGGGUUCAGUCUGUAGUAAUGAAACAAGAAUGCCUAAUAUUUUGGACUUUGCCUCCUUCCCUUUGAGGAGAUUGGUAAUAUCUGCAUUUACUUCUCAUUGAGUAAUCCUAAAUCCUUAGUCGGCAAGUUGAAAUGGAAGUCAUGAUUUCAAAAGGCAGCAAGGAUGCAUAUCACCCCCUGGCCACUUUCAGCAGUACCAUUCACCAUCAAGUUGUAGGGUACCUCUCCAAGAGAUGAAGCUGUAAAAUAACCUUGUCUCAGAACUGACCAGGGGCUUUCUACAUACUUCCUGUCCCUGCAGUUUGACAACUGCAUCCACCAUGACAAUGGAAAAUGUCUUUUGCUUUGAGAACUCUGAGAUGUGCUCCCUUGGUAUGCUCUUUGUCCUAGAAUGUUCUUUAAAAUAGUUUGAAGAGGCAACUUGUAGAGCAAAGGGGGCCAUGAAUAGUGUUCACAGCUGGUAGGCAAAGAAAUGUCACUGUGGAUGUGUGCAUUCUCCCUU